UCUGCACAUUGUUAGAGCUUGGAGAUGAGGCCAGUGGCCGAUGAACUCACAAGUACAGGUAGCGUGCUACCUGAAGGGCAAGCUUUUAACUAACACCACAAGGGUCUCAGGCCCAGUGAGUAGAGUUUGAUGGGAUUACUUGCUUCAAGU
ensembl:snoRNA SNORA62 Small nucleolar RNA SNORA62/SNORA6 family